UUUUUUUUUACUCUCUAAAAAAAAAUCCCUGAUCAUAAUGAUUGGAUUUAUACCAACUUUUAUUUAUGCUGUGACAGCGGCAAAAAUACUUAAAAUGCCAAUUUUAAUAACAAACCUUAUACCGCUGGCACUCUGAAAACUGCCCAAUAUUAUUAUUAUUUUAAAAGUAGAAUUCUAUACAUAUAUUAUAAAUAAUAUAGAAAUUCUGUCAUGCUUAAUUUAAGCACCAUUUCCUAACAUCAUUAGCGUGACUUUUUAUUUAUACCUUGUUCAUUUUUCCCAAAUUGCGUAAGAAGCUUGCACACCUGUAGCAUUUAUUUAUUUCUAAUGUAAGAUUCAAGAACAAUAUUUUGGACAUUUCCUUGUUAAUAAAUAUAUUUGGAAUUAAAAAGAAUAUAUAAUUUAUUUUUAAAUGUAUCCAGAACCUUGUGCUUUUUGAAAUCUGUAUAAAAAUUGUCUUAACAAGCUGCAUCCUCUCAGGAACGUAGGAUAAAAUAUAAAGAAACUGUACCUUUAAAUAAGUUGUGGCGAGUUGAGAAUUGACUUGCAAAAUGAAGACUCAGCUGCCGCGGAUGAAAUCUUUAAUUCAGGGAAUUUUCAGAUUUAUUUUUCAACGCAGCUUUUGCCGUAUAUCUUACAAGUUUUUGUCAAGUCACUACAACCUCUGAUCAGUGAGUGGACUCCAAGUGAUACUUAGAUUAAUGAAUUUGUAGGAACCUCAUGUGGACUUAGCUCCAGCAAAUGAAAGGAAAAGAGGAGAUUGUAUCAGCAAUUGAAAAAUAAAUAAUAAAAAAAAUCAUGUUGCGUAUCCGUGCUAAAUGUCAACUGAUUAAUCUUAAAAAAAUACUUGAGGUUUGUAUCAUUUUUUGUUGUGUUUCAAACAAAAAUGUGAAUUUUUAAUGGGGUUUGUGGUUUGAUACUCUUGCCUUGUAAAAGUCAAUAACUCCAGCUUCUGUAUUCUAUUUACAAAAGAAGAAAAAAAAAUAUAUGUUUUUUGAACUUUGUGUAUCUGGCUUUUUGUAUGCGCUAAUACAUUUGUGUAACUUGAGCUAUGGAGACUAUAUAAACAGAUCUAUUUAUUGCAUUACAUGCAAACUGUCAAUGUUUUGUUGUUUUUUGCACUAAUUAAAAAAAAAAAAGAUGUUUGCAUAUCAGUAUUUUUAAAAUGUCUUCUCUUAAAAGUGUGAAUAUAUUUGUCAUGAAUGAGUACUGUAACAGCAAAACCUCAACAUUCCUUGUGAUCUAGUGUACAGUUUGUGAUAAUUUUUCCAACAGCAAAACAGAGAUAUUUAAGUAUAAUAUUCACUGGUUUCAUAUGUAUUUUGAAGAAAGAAUAAAG